CGUGGACUCUAUCAUCACUGGAGGGUUUAUUACGGACAGGAACAUGGAAAACAUUACGUUGUCAACGUUUCAGGAGGAGAGUCCAACAGCAAGCCUUUGGCCAUUACUUCUAAAUUGGUGAAGGAAGAACUUAACAAGGUGGCUGGAAAAAGUGACUACUCUGUGUACAGAGAACUGGACAAACAUAAUGAACCAAGAAGUCCUGAGCAGAUGAAAGCAGACAUGGACAAAAUGAUUGGUACCCAAAUAAAGUAUGAUCCCUUUGGAAAGAACUGUCAACACUUUGCUACACAAAUACGGUACGGCAAGGAAAUAUCUCCCGAGGGGGAAAGUGCAGCCAAAUCCGUGGGCAAAAACCUGACAGAUUUCCGUGCAGAAAUGGACCCUUUUUCUGUCUUUGGAACAGAGAAGUUCAAAAAGUAACAGCUUAUUCACCUGAUGAAUUUCUUCAUCUUUUGUGGUGUUCCUUGCCUUUCUGAUAAAGGGCACAAUUUCUCUUUACAAAGUACAAUAGAAAAUGCUUGUUAAAAUAUUCUUACUUCUUUAAUUAUGGUGAGCAAAAUGAAUCUAUUGUUGUAAAAAUGAAAUCAAUAAAAAUUCAAGUUGCAUCAAA